rfam:Bacillus glycinifermentans strain GO-13 contig_12, whole genome shotgun sequence.
ACCUUAGAAAUACACAGGAGUGUGUAUAUGGGUUUUAUAAUGAAAGCUUAGUUUGAGAUUAGGGUAGUUGAGAAUGAGUGUAGAUGAGCCGAGACCAUACGUUUUUAAAUCCUACCCAAAAGACGUUUGUUCUUUUGGGUUUGUUUA